rnacentral:rRNA from 1 species
CAUUCACGGAGAGUUUGAUCCUGGCUCAGGACGAACGCUGGCGGCGUGCUUAACACAUGCAAGUCGAACGAUGAAGCCGCUUCGGUGGUGGAUUAGUGGCGAACGGGUGAGUAACACGUGGGCAAUCUGCCCUGCACUCUGGGACAAGCCCUGGAAACGGGGUCUAAUACCGGAUACGACACGGG